rnacentral:rRNA from 1 species
UACGUAGGGGGCGAGCGUUACCCGGAAUCACUGGGCGUAAAGGGAGCGUAGGUGGCCUGACAUGUCGACUGUGAAAACCCGGAGCUCAACUCCGGACUUGCAGUUGAAACUGCCAGGCUUGAGGACGGUAGAGGAAGACGGAACUGCCAGUGUAGGGGUAAAAUCCUUAGAUAUUGGCAGGAACGCCGGUGACGAAGGUGGUUUUCUGGCCGGUUCUGACACUGAUGCUCGAAAGCCAGGGGAGCGAACGGGAUUAGAUACCCUGGUAGUCCCUGAGCGGGCU